AAGAACUGAAGAACAGUGAAGAAUUUAUGAAUCUCAGGUACUCAUUCCCAUAACUGUCUCUGGAAAAAAAUCAUGCUUUGUUUGGACCUUUACCUAAUCUGAACAUCGAUCCUAGCAGACUUAGGGACUUUUUUCCAACUUACCAUGAAUGUAAACCAAUAGGCCAAGCAAAAAAAACUUAGGGUUGGAAGGGAUACUACUGCUGAGGAAUCCCAAUCUUUAAUAGAUGAAGUUAUAGACUUAAGGUUUAUGAACAGUGGCUUUAGAGUCUUUCG
rnacentral:lncRNA from 1 species